rnacentral:rRNA from 1 species
GACGAACGCUGGCGGCGUGCUUAACACAUGCAAGUCGAACGGAAAGGCCCUGCUUUUGUGGGGUGCUCGAGUGGCGAACGGGUGAGUAACACGUGAGUAACCUGCCCUUGACUUUGGGAUAACUUCAGGAAACUGGGGCUAAUACCGGAUAGGAGCUCCUGCGGCAUGGGGGGGGUUGGAAAGUUUCGGCGGUUGGGGAUGGACUCGCGGGUUAUCAGCGUGUUGGGGGGGUAGUGGAUUACCAAGGCCUUGACGGGUAGCCGGCCUGAGAGGGUGACCGGCCACAUUGGGACUGAGGUACGGCCCAGACUCCUACGGGAGGCAGCAGUGGGGAAUAUUGCACAAUGGGCGGAAGCCUGAUGCAGCAACGCCGCGUGCGGGAUGACGGCCUUCGGGUUGUAAACCGCUUUCGCCUGUGACGAAGCGUGAGGGACGGUAAUGGGUAAAGAAGCACCGGCUAACUACGU